rnacentral:sRNA from 1 species
CAUGAUGGCUCACAUAAUCACAGUACUCAAGGCUGAAGAUUGUGGGGAAUAAGUUUGAAGUCAACCUGGGCAACAUAGCUGACAGAAUUCUACAGUAUGGAUGCAUCAUUGUUCAUGUUAAGAUUGCAGGCUAUUUUCAUCUUUUGUUAUGACAUGUAACAACAUAAUAUCUGUCAUGAAAGGAGCCUCCCUCUUCAACUUCAAGUCUGACAUCACAAUGAAGAUCAGCUCAGAAC